GUAGGGUGCGAGCGUUAUCCGGGAAUCAUUGGGCGUAAAGAGCCCGUAGGCGGUUCAGCAAGUCGGCUGUGAGAUUCCGAGGGCUCAACCUCGGAACUGCAGUCGAUACUGCUGUGACUCGAGUCCGGUAGAGGAGAAUGGAAUUCAGGGUGUAGCGGUGAAAUGCGCAGAUAUCCUGAGGAACACCAGUAGCGAAGGCGGUUCUCUGGGCCGGUACUGACGCUGAGGAGCGAAAGCGUGGGUAGCAAACAGGAUUAGAUACCCUGGUAGUCCACGCCGUAAACGUUGGACACUAGGUGUGGCGUUCCGACCAACGGGUGCCGUGCCGAAGCUAACGCAUUAAGUGUCCCGCCUGGGGAGUACGGCCGCAAGGCUA
rnacentral:rRNA from 1 species